ensembl:antisense Gm13919 predicted gene 13919
GUCUUCACAACAGCAGCAAGCAAGCACACUACAACGAAUGACUGCUGGGAUGUGUUACAGGACCUACUCUACGGUCAGGUGGAAAGUUUAAUUUGAAAGAUCAGAGGAACUAGCAAGACUGGACAAGCUAGAGCUGAUUUAAAAGAUAAAGGACCAACAGCUAUCUGGCCUGAUAAAGGCCUGUCCAGCACCCAGACUAUCAGCAGUCCUCAUCCCCAUGCUCCAAGACUAUGUACACCCAUAUUCUGCAAAAGACGCUGCAGGAGGAAGGGCCAUAAUCCAGACAAACAAGGAAGGGCAUGAGGACAGAGACAAUGCCUGUGUUCCAUUUUUGUGAAGACUAAAUGAGCCAAAGCUUCAGAGGACGGAGACCAGCCUGUGACACACAGGGAGUGUUUAACAUAUGCCUGUUGUAAUAAUUGCUGAUGGGAGAUACUACGGUAGUAGUGGAGUUCACCCUGGCAUUUAUAACACCUGAGUUAAUAUUUCAACUUUGCCACCUGUCAAUUAUGUAACCAUAACAAGUUACUGAACCUUGCCAUGUCUCCAUUUCACCCAUGAGAGCCCCCAUGUAAAGCAGGGCCUUGCUGUAGAGAUGCCAGAUACAGCUCACAAACUCUGUGCAAAACCGGUUCAUAUGCCCUGGAACUGGCCUAGUAUGGCUUUCGGCUCUCACCCUGAGAUGUCCCAUGGGACUGUAUUUUAAGUAGUACCCGCCCUCUGUGGUUCACCUUUCCCAACAACCUCCUUGAAGAGCCCUGAGGGAGUGGUUUCUCCAUCCCUGACUCCCACAGCACUCCUUGUACCAGUGCUACAGUGUUGAUAUUUGUAUGAAGUCUCAUUCCCCCCUGGGUCAAGGAUGCCAGCUGAGAUCUCCACACCCAAGGCAGCCCCUCAAUGCUGUCUGGCAUCGUAACUAAAAACAGAGGAUGAGAAUCUGACAAAACGGUAGGACCUGGAGCUAAUGUGCCAGGCACAACUCGUGUCUACCCUGCAAGCAUAUGUGAAAACCCAGGAGGAUGAAGAAGCCAUGGAUUCUUAGGACACUGGAAAGAAGCCCCUAGCACAUUAAAGAGACAGAAGUAGAGGAAUGAGCACCUGUCCUGAUCAUGGAUGCCCACACUGCACAUAUGUGCACCUUCUCUCGUCAUGGAUGCCCACACUGCACAUAUGCGCACCUGUCCUGAUCAUGGAUGCCCACACUGCACAUGUGUGCACCUGCCCUCAUCAUGGAUGCCCACACUGCACAUGUGUGCACCUGCCCUCAUCAUGGAUACCCACACUGCACAUGUGUACACCUGCCCUCAUCAUAAAUGCCCACACUGCACAUGUGUGCACCUGUCCUGAUCAUGGAUGCCCACACUGCACAUGUGUGCACCUGCCCUCAUCAUGGAUGCCCACACUGCACAUGUGUGCACCUGCCCUCAUCAUGGAUGCCCACACUGCACAUGUGCGCACCUGCCCUCAUCAAGGAU